rnacentral:sRNA from 1 species
CUUCAGAGAAGAGUGGGUGGCUAGGGCUGACCUUAAGGGAAAGGUGGAACUUGGGAAAAAUAGAUGAGAUUUAGACAGGAUUAGGGAAGCAAUUCCAAGUAUUACAAAUGGUAUCAACAAAAAACAUGAUAGCAGAAAAAGCGUACUUUUUUGUUUUUUAGGAUUUCUGUGAGUAAAUUAGCUUACUUGGAGCAGGAGUUUUGUUUUUUUUUUUUUAACUGAGGAUGGGAGAUUAGGUUAAAGGGAAAAUAAGGACUGGAUUAAGGUCCUUGGAAGCCAGAGAGACAUUUGUUUUUUUAUUUUGUAGCUAGUUAGGAACUGCUAGAAGUUUUCAUAGAGAGUAAUGUGGCCACAGCAGUAUGCUAGCAGACACCUAUGUUUGGUGGUGGUAUGUUUGGUGGUGGUAGUGGAGUGCAUUUAGUUAUUAAACAAAUUUAAACAUAUGGUUCUUGAGCAUUUGUGUUGUCUUGGACUCAGUUCUAUGAACUGGGAAUACAAAGGUAAAUAAGACGUGGAUCCUGCCAUCAAAGAGCACGGUCUAGUGCAGGAAUUCUCAGAGUGUGGGUUAUCUUGACGAAUCAGAUUACAACCCAUCUGAGUGGAGCCCUGGCUUCUCAGGCAGACCUGGUGUCUCCAGCUGAUGAUUUGUCCCUGUCUGAAGGCACUUCUGGAUCCAGCUGUGUGAUAGCCGCACUAGGAAAUACCUGGAGUCACAGUGUGAAUACCCGGCUGAUCCUCCAGUACCUUGAUUCAGAGAGAAGACAGAUUCUUAUUGCCAAGUCCCCUCUGGCUCCCUUCACCUCAUUUGUCUACACCAUCAAGGAGGAAGGCCUGGUUCUUCAAG